GAUCACUCCGCAUUUUGUGGAGUUAAGGCCAUACGGACAGCCGGGUCCACUGCCGA
rnacentral:sRNA from 1 species